rnacentral:rRNA from 1 species
UACGUAGGGGGCUAGCGUUGUCCGGAAUCAUUGGGCGUAAAGCGCGUGUAGGCGGUUCGGUAAGUCCGCUGUGAAAGUCGGGGGCUCAACCCUCGAAUGCCGGUGGAUACUGUCGGACUAGAGUACGGAAGAGGCGAGUGGAAUUCCUGGUGUAGCGGUGAAAUGCGCAGAUAUCGGGAGGAACACCAGUAGCGAAGGCGGCUCGCUGGGCCAUUCCUGACGCUGAGACGCGAAAGCUAGGGGAGCGAACAGG